rnacentral:lncRNA from 1 species
ACUGGAUGCCAAUCUGCUUCCUUUUUGACUUUCCUAGGCUCGGAUUCAUCAGAUUCUCUACUUGCGUCAUUUGCAAUGGAAAGACCCUCCCACAAGCAAAACCAUAUUCCUGCUGCUGUCAGUUAUGAUGCACUGAGAAAACUUCAGAGACCUAAACUUUUUCCAGAGAAGAGAAGCUUUACUGGUGUUCCAGCCCUAAGCAACCAUCUUUCCUGUGAAAAAUUCCCUCUCCUAGUACUUUAGUUCUGUGGAUCCAAAAUUUAUAGCAUUCUUCUACCACCACAGGGGCUAUAUGACAUUGACAGACAAGACACUUUUCAGAAAGACAGAGUCAAGAGGCUUGGAUGGCAGCAGAGGGGAUGGAACAGUGUGAAGUCCUUUGCGACCAUGUGCAAGUUUUCCCUUCUGCUCCAGUGCCUCAGAAGGCUUCCAUUCAGCUUGGCCUGUCCAUCAGGCACGUGGGUAAAAUGUUGUGCUCACUGUGUAGAGGAGAACACUCGAUGAUGAUGAAGAAUGCAGAAAGCCAUGGAAACAUGUCCGCAGUGUCUUCAUUUGAGCUGUGUCCUUCCACUGUCCCCAUUCCCUCUCCACACAUGGUUGCUUGUCAGAGAUUCUGGGUUCUGGGAGCUGUGUGGUGACUUCCCCAAACCUCAGUGUUAGCUCCUCCAGGCAGCACCACAUCCUCGUUCCCCAGGGCGGUCCAUGUCUGGGCCCCUCUUGGGGAUACCAGGCAUUGGAAGGACACAGGUCAUCUCAGAUGGGGCACCCAUGUCCCUUCCCAGGGUCCACUCAGAACUUUCCCCUUGGACCCCCUAGAAAGUCCUGCUGUCCUCCACCUGGCUACCUCUUGGCUUUGGGAGACACAUGUCUUCUCUCCCCACUGACUGAGAAUGUCAGACUCCUGCCGGCCAGCUGCAUGCUUUCCAGGAGCACCAACCAGGAAAUUCCCUGACAGGUAAAAUAUUUAAAAAUGACACUUUUACCUACCUGACUUUGGGGGCCAAAUGCCUAAGAGGGAAAGGAAACAGUCUAACCAGAGUCCAGGAAAAUUAAUUGAAUCCCAUGGGGUAGACAUAAAACCCCUGUGGGAAUAUUAC